GUCCACGCCGUAAACGUUGGGCACUAGGUGUGGGGAUCUAUCGACGGUUUCCGUGCCGAAGCUAACGCAUUAAGUGCCCCGCCUGGGGAGUACGGCCGCAAGGCUAAAACUCAAAGGAAUUGACGGGGGCCCGCACAAGCGGCGGAGCAUGUGGCUUAAUUCGAUGCAACGCGAAGAACCUUACCAAGGCUUGACAUUCUGUGUAAUCCGUGGGAACACGGUGAUCCUUCGGGAUCCAGAACAGGUGGUGCAUGGCUGUCGU
rnacentral:rRNA from 1 species